UUGGAACAGGACGUCAUAGAGGGUGAGAAUCCCGUCUGAUGGGGUGUCCAGUGCUUUGUAGAUUUCUACCGAAGAGUCGAGUUGUUUGGGAAUGCAGCUCUAAGUGGGUGGUAAAUUCCAUCUAAAGCUAAAUACUGGCGAGAGACCGAUAGCGAACAAGUACAGUGAUGGAAAGAUGAAAAGAACUUUGAAAAGAGAGUGAAAAAGUACGUGAAAUUGUUGAAAGGGAAGGGUAUUGGAUCAGACUUGGUGUCUUGUGAUUAUCUUCCCUUCUUGGGUUGUGCACUCGCAUUUCACUGGUCCUGCAUCGGUUCGGAUGGCAAGAUAAUGGCUUGGGAAUGUGGCACUCUUCGGAGUGUGUUAUAGCCCUUGUUGAUGUUGCCUAUCUUGGACCGAGGACUGCGGCUUUUUGCCUAGGGAUGCUGGCGUAAUGAUUCAAUACCGCCCGUCU
rnacentral:rRNA from 1 species